GGAUUCCCCUAGUAACUGCGAGUGAAGCGGGAAAAGCUCAAAUUUAAAAUCUGGCGGUCUCCGGCCGUCCGAGUUGUAAACUAGAGAAGUGUUAUCCGUGCUGGACCAUGUAUAAGUCUCCUGGAACGGAGCGUCACAGAGGGUGAGAAUCCCGUCUUUGACAUGGACUGCCAGUGCAUUGUGAUGCGCUCUCAAAGAGUCGAGUUGUUUGGGAAUGCAGCUCAAAAUGGGUGGUAAACUCCAUCUAAAGCUAAAUAUUGGCGAGAGACCGAUAGCGAACAAGUACCGUGAGGGAAAGAUGAAAAGAACUUUGGAAAGAGAGUUAAACAGUACGUGAAAUUGUUGAAAGGGAAACGCUUGAAGUCAGUCGCAUUGGCCGGGAUCAACCUUGCUUUGUGAGGUGUACUCCCUGGUCAAUGGGUCAGCAUCAGUUUUGACUGCCGGAAAAAGGUUAGGGGAAUGUGGCAUCUUCGGAUGUGUUAUAGCCCCUGAUUGUAUACGGUGGUUGGGACUGAGGAACUCAGCACGCCGAAAGGCCGGGUUUAACCACGUUCGUGCUUAGGAUGCUGGCAUAAUGGCUUUAAUCGACCCGUCUUGAAACACGGACCAAGGAGUCUAACAUGCCUGCGAGUGUUUGGGUGGUAAACCCAUGCGCGCAAUGAAAGUGAAAGUUGAGAUCUCUGUCAUGGAGAGCAUCGACGCCCGGACCAGACCUUCUGCGACGGAUCCGCGGUAGAGCAUGUAUGUUGGGACCCGAAAGAUGGUGAACUAUGCCUGAAUAGGGCGAAGCCAGAGGAAACUCUGGUGGAGGCU
rnacentral:rRNA from 1 species